GCGCUGCGGCGGAAAGGGCGGGGGGGCGGGCGAGUCCUUGGCGCCCCACCGAGCCAGGAGGGCGCCCGGAGCCCCUUCCGCCGUCCCGCGGCCGCGAAGUUGCCGGCGCCCCGUGUGGGGCGGCGACGCCUCCGACUAAUCCGCUCCCGGCCCCCGCGCCCUGAGGGGUGCCCUGAGGGGUGCUGCGGGACACCUGCCGGGCCCCGCCAGGAACCCCCGGCCCCUCGCUUCCCAAAGGAACUGUUGCUCGCCGAGAUCCAGCCGGGAAGUUGGGCGGCGGCUCCGCACGGCUCCGGGGCCGGGCAGCGUCCGGGUUUAGCGGCGCUGGGCUGCCGGGCGCUGGGAACAAAGCACGUAGGCGCCUCCGGGAGCGGGGUGUUCCCGGGGCUCCGGGGGAAGCCGGGCCCAUCCGCCCGCCCUUGGUGUCCCCGGGAGCUCCGCGGGGUCCCCGCGCUGCCCUCGGCUCCGCGCCCCAGCCCGGCGUUUCCACUUCCCAAGUUCGAGCCAGCGCCACUUUCAGCUCCCGAGGCCGCGGGGAGGUUCCCGUGGCGUGGAGAGCUAUCCGUGUUCUUUGUCAUGGCGCAGGUUCUGUAAAAAAAAACGGUGCAAAAAUGAAUGUUUUGAAGCGCCGGUGUUUAUUCACGUGUUUUCGGAGGUCCGCUGUGGGUUUGCGGGGUGUCUCUCCGGGGUGGAUGGCUCGGGAACGCGUUCUUUUGUGCUCGUGUGGCACAACAAUUCCUGCCUUGGAGUGGAAACCUCGAGUACUCGAGAUGGAGCUUGAUUUACAGCGUUGUAAAACGAGCGUCGAUCCGUGCCUGCCAGGCUUUCCCGGCUGUGCUCGGUGGCAAUGGCCUGUCGUUUGGUUUUUUUCCUGGUGGAAUUUAAGGUGGGAUAUCACGUUGCCGAGCCUAACUCGGGAGUUUUCUGUCUGUAGUCCCUGAACGCUCAGUAAUUCACAAAAGGUUAAUCUAGGAAAUCAAGGGUAUUGCUGGUAGGUUUCUACAGAGAGGGGUGUGUGUGUGCAGUGCACAAGUGCCUUGGAAAGAAAUUUUGAGUCCUAAAAUAAAAUAUUAAAAAAAAAAAAGAGAACUAACGAUCUAGCUACUUUUGAUUUUGGUUAUGUCUCAAGCUGUGCUUGGCCAAGCCUUAGCUGAGGAUUGUUCUAACUUUUAGUGAUCAGUCCUUCUGACUCGAUUUUUUUUUUCUUUUUGACUGCUCCAGUGGGAGCAGAAAAGCUCAAUGUUAAAAUCAGGACUGUAGUGUGCAGAUUCUGAAGAAGCACCUUUUUUUUUUUUUUAAGAAGACGUUUGUAGGUUUUUUUCUUCUGCUUUUACGUGGUUGUGUCUCUGAGAGUUGAAGUACUAAGAUUUGAACAGUAGAAAUCAUCUUUUCGGGAUGCUGCUCCAAUAAAAUGCACUUAACUUUAGUUAAAAACAAAACUGGUGCCUUGGUUAAGGGCUCAUAUUUACUGUUCUUCCUUUCACCUAAACGAGCUCAGUUGUUUGAAAGCCUUGAAAAAAUAGGGGCUAGGAGAGCCUUCCCAUGGAAUUGCUGUUGAGAUCUGCAUUGGUGGUGGCAAGAAAUGCUCAGUCCUUACUGACUCCUGCUUUUCACCAUGGACUUGGUACAGGGUGCCCUUCUUUUGUGGAACCACUGCACUUUUACCCCAAAUGGCCUUUAUGGCCUUAAUAAACCCACUGAUUUGGCUGCUACUCAGGUGUGGUUGUUCAAGUGCAGAUUUUCCAGAGAAGAGAUCUGCUGUUGUGGGCAGGGCAGGGCAGGGCAGGUGUGGGUUUUUUCUCUUUCAGAAUUGAGCAGCUCUGUGUAGGAGCUUUGUUCUCUGGCCCACUGGUCAAGACUGCAGUGGCCAGCUGGGUGCCACUGGGUGUUGGUCACUGCUGGUCUGAUCUGCGUGGGAAGUAAGGCUUCUUCCUAUUUAUAAUUUCUUUUUUUUAGUAGUGUUUCAACGGUCUGGCAGACAGAACAAAUGGAGGACAGGAAUUGUCCAUGCGCAUUGUCCAUGUGCAUUUUUUUUUUUCCUUUGGGCAAAGUUUUUUGCAAAUUUAUCUAAGCAGUUAUGGAGUCAAGUACAAAAUGAAGCAGUUUAUAUAUCUCUUCUUUGCUUGCUGUGCUUUUUCAGCCACCAAAUCAAAGGAAAAUUGUUAUGGCAAGUCCAGGACUAACAAUGCAGUUGGGAGGAAGAUGUGUCUGUGUGGAUGGUCCUUAAUGAGCCCUUUGCUGGGAUGGUUGUGUUGUGCUUCAGUGUAAAAUAUCAGAAAUAUCGACAGUGACCAUGUUUUGCAGUAAGACAUCUGAGAACUAAUUGCUGUUUCCUAUUUACUCAGUGUUUUAGUUUCAUGUGAACUGGCAAUCAAGUGGCACUCUAUAAAUAGCCUCUCUCAGCUUCUGAAAACAGCUGCUCCAGGAAGGAUCUGUGUAAUGUACCUUUCCACGCAGAUAGCUCACCCCUGGAAUUUAUGGCCUUGCAAAAACUCUGUCUGAUUUUGCAAAAUCUCUAAAUAAUUUCUCUGAAGCCCAGUCAGUUCUGGACAGAGUUUCAGAGAAACACCUCAUGAGGAUAGAGCCGUAGGUGCAUCCCUGGGAUGUGUCCUUCAGAUGUUAUCCCUUGGUGAGAGCUCCUGCUGUGAUGAGAGAGGGAAGAUGUGGGUCUCAGCAAUGUAUCUGUUAGCUACCUUUCCUUCAGUAUUUGUAGGCUAAUUAGCCUCAGUUUUUGUAUUUGAGGUCUCCAGAGGAAGGCAGGCCUGGGGGAGGCUGUCAGUAACUCUCUUUUCUUUAAUCCAGUUUAGGCAUCCUCUUAGCCUGGUGCUGGUGGGAUCCAGCCUGCUACUGGAUCACAGAUGGAAACUGAGUUUCAGACUGCUUUCAGUAGCGCCUGGCCGUGCUUUCACCCUGAAAAACAUUGGUGCAAACUGUAGUAUCCAAGUUAAAUUCUGCCUUGAAGCUGGCAAGUGUAAUUACUCAGGUUACUUUCACAGGAAUUUCCAAGUCUUGCAAUUUUGUAUCAUUGUGGCAAUGUUUCAUCCGCCAGUGAACAAACCUGUGCUGGCUGCAGGUCAAGUGUUCUGUGCCAGCACAAUAAAGGCCUCUGUGUGGAUUAAAUAUAGCAUAUAACGAUUUGGCUAGAGAAAUGGCAGCACGGGUUUCUUGCAAAAAGAGGGAUCCAUAAUUCCUCUGAAGUAUUUAAUGUGAUGAGUUUAUUUGCUUUUCUGUGAAGGGUCCUGCUGCCGAGAAUGGCUCUGUUCAGACAGCAAAAAGAAUGAAGACUUUUCCUUUUUAUUUUUGUUUUGGGGUUUUUGUUUGAGUGGUUUAUUUUUGCUGUCUGACAAAGCAGGUUAUCAAGAGAAAGUCAGUUUAAAAGGAGAGGAACUGAUGCUGUAUUCUAGCUCAGAGUGGUGGUUGGAAGCUGUGGUGCUUGAUACAAUGGAAGCAAAUAAUAAAAUAAUCAGCUCUCCCCAAUCUCUGAUAUAUUCAUGCAGAUACUAUUUUCUGAAAUCUUCGUUCCUUCUUUUUGUUUUGAGCUUAGCAUAUAUCUUAGAGAUAGCAUUGUGGUGCUUUCCCAUGAGCUUUCACUCCUCCUUCUUUAAAGAUUGUUUCAUACCUUACUAAAUUUUUAUCAUUCUGGUUUUCAAGAUUUGGGAAAAGUUUGAAGCCUGUAAAAAACUCACUGUAAGGAAACCAGUAGUUAGGUUCAUUGUGAUCAAAUUUUGUAAAGCUUCAGCCAUUCUUAUUAAAAGAGAUCCAUGAAUAUUUGUAUGUAGGGAGAACCUACUGAACUACUUAGGUUUCAAUAGUUCUCCCUCUUUAUAGGGAUGAACCACAGUAACCCCAGAGCUAAUUACAGUUUUGAAGUUAGUUGACUGCCCUGCCCAUAAGUAGGGUUGAAAAACAAGCAAGAAUAGCUUUAUAACUGCUUAGUUUGGAUAUUGACUGCCUUCCAUUCAUGCCAGUUUAUAAAACUGUUAGUGGCUGGUUGAAUGAACAUAGAAUUGGGCGUUGCUGUUGAACAUUUGGUAUUUCCUAAAAUACAUUGCCCAGAGUGUAAGAGUGCAAUUAAAAUACUUCCUUAAAAUACUGUAAAUGUUCAUUCUCUCUUUUGCAUUUCUUGGUUAAACAAACCAACCAAACCCAGCAGAAUGGAAACUUGAAUGCUGGGGAGAACAACGAAAAAGACCUUAUUUUCUCCAGUUUUUGCUCCAGCUAUAUUUUAACAUGUGGUAUCUUGAUCUUUGAAAAUAGUGCAGAGCAGGAAGGAAGGGUCAGACAGCUUUAAUAUGAUCAGCUUUGUAGCUGGUGCUCUUGCCAACUUGGAGAUGGGCAGAGUAUUUAAUCAGCCUUUCUUCUUCAAUUCUUUGCAUUAUACUUUUGAUGUUUAGUGUUUUGGUUGUUUUUUUUUUUUUUCUUUCUUUUUUUCCUGGUACACUCUUAUAUUUCAUGCCCUAAAGCUCUGGAAUUAAUUUUCUUUUCUACCAUGAGUUAAAAACACUCAUCUGUCACAGUUAAGCUCCAGACCUGGUAGAGGUGUUCUAGUUAUUUUUUUCUGCAAGUCUAACAGAUUAACUGCUGCUUGAAAAAGAAGCAUUAUAAAUGUACCUGAUGGUGUGAUUAUGAGAGCACAGUUCUGUAGUGAUAUGUUCUAUUACACAUCAAAUACUUUGUGAAACUUGACUAACUGAACUGUUUAGAAAGAUGUAAGUGAACUCUUCAGAUUUUUUCGUUAGAAAUGUUUUCUGAAUAAUAGAAAUAGGCAGAGGCAGAAUUGAAAUUCACUGUGUAAUGAAUGAGUUGGAGGAAAACAAAUCUGUGGAACAGUUUCUACGUGCUCAGUCUAAUAUUGGAAGGAGGCAGGAAGCAUUAGGAAGGCAGGAAAUUUGGUGUAGUCAUUGGAUCUUCACUGGUUGUAUAGAAAAGCUUAAGAUGCUUAAAAACAUUGCAGAAAAGAGAUGUAACUUUUUAAUUGAAAAAUCCACAAGAGAGGAUAGUGAUCAGGUAUUGCCUUAAACUGGAUAUCAUUGGAGUUUUUUCCCCUUGUUAAUAAAAUCAAGGCUUAGUGACUACAGUCCUUAAAAAAUUAGAUGGGCUCUUGAAAGAACAAUGUGGCAUUGAGACCUGUUGAUAACAAAUUGAAUUUGGAGGAGUUUAAUAAAGAGACUGUGUCUGAAAUGAAUUCCCUGAUACUAUCUCAUUUAAAUUGGUACCAAGGAGCAGAAAGGCACUAUAUGUAUGUCUAAAACAGCUUGUAGGAAAAUAUAUGAGGGGUGAUCCUAGCAUACAGGAUUAAUGAUUUUUUUUUCCUACUUCAAAGUAAAUCAGCUCAGAUAAUAAAGACACCCAUUUUAAAGCCUUUAAUGUUGGUAAAGGAUAAUAAAAGCACAGUGUAACAGAAUCAUCUGGACAAAACAACAAAUAAAAACAUGCUGGCUGCUAAUAAUUUAGUACAUAUCAGAAAAGCAGAAAGAGAUGUGAGCUGGGAGGAAGGAUUAAGGUUAGAUGAGUAUUUCUGUGGCCUGAGUGCUGAAUGCUUGGUUUUAAUUUCAGUCUAAUCAGCCUUCUGUUAUCGUUGGGCUUAUUUCAAGCAUACACUAACUGAGCUAUGGAGUGGAGGACAGGAGCCACUUGGACCUGCAAGUGGUACAGCCAUGUAGCAUUAAUCUAGGUAAAUUUGAUAGCUUGUUUUGCUGUUAUCUCAGAAAUCUUUGCAUGUAGUUGAUAUCAUUGACCUUUUUUCAGUUACAUCUUCCUGUGUGUUUUGUGGUUUAAUUGUUAUGGUUUGUUACUGCUUCUUUCUCCAUAGUGUUGUCCCAUUUUACUUCCAUUCAGUAAUGAUGUGUUGAUGAUCAUUUUUGUGUAUUUUCUUUUUUUAAAAAAAGGAAAAAUUACAUGCAGGGUCUGGGAUUACUUGGUGCCUUCUGUCCUGAAAUAAGAGAAUGAUUUCCAAUGGCUGUUUUUAGGAUGCUGGGGAUUCAUAGUAGCACAGCUUCUGGUUUUUUAUGUACAAACACCAGUUUGUGUAAAACUGUAGACCCUUAUGGAUUACAUUAUUAUGUUCUUUGGUGGGAUUACUUUGCAGAAACCUGCUUUUUGGGUUUUGCUUUUUCUUUUUUCUUAAAAAAAAAAUACUACUGCCUAGAUCAGAACUUAUCAGUGAACCUACUUACUGAGUUUUGAUGUUUUAAUUUUCUAAACCACCAACUGUUUUGCUGCUGUAACAUUUGGACAUAUUAAUUAAAAUGAAAGGUGGCUUUCUGGCAUUAUAUUUGGCCAGAAAGAAAUGAUGAAAAAUUGGUAUAACUGUUUCAGACUGUUGAUUUUCUGUCCUUCAGAAAUUCAGGAGGCCUUUCUGGUUGUCUGCAGAUUUGUCAUAAUUUCUUCAAAUGGACAGAACUAUGCAGAUGUACUUUUUUAUUUUAAGGGAUUAACCUUAUGUGUAAUAUCUGUUAUUAACAGAACAUGAAUCAUGUGUGUUAAUGGCUGCCAGGUAGUAGGAGUGUGUGUAAGUGGGUUGUGGUUCCAAGGCUUUGCAUGCAUUAUAAUAUUUGAAAUAUAUUCAGUCUUAGGAUGCACAUGUAUUUACUUUUAUCCUUUGCAGCCUCAGUGUUCUUCUGCAGACAGCUGGAGACUGCAGACAUUUGUGUGCACUUCUACUAUAUUUUCAUUUUUGAUUGCAAUAUUUUGUUGCAUUUACAUUGUGUGCUUUUAAAGACUGGCUUUGUGCAGGAAAUGUUUGCUUUGUAAAUGACUGCCUGCCUUGAUGCUGAGUGUUUCAGACAGCUUCGUGGUUAAGUUGUACCUUGAUCUUCUAAUAAUGAGCUUUGGAUACAUGAAAGCUGUCUCUCGCUGCAAAAACAAGUCGUGUACAGCAUGUACUGGAUUUGUAUUUCAGGAUGAGGCGGUGAUGUGAGAGAUCCUUUAGAUCUCUUUCCUUUAUUUAUUUUUUUAAUUUUUUUCCUCCCAUAGCUUUCUUCCAGUUGGAUUGCUUCCAUUAACUGCAUUAGGGCAGGCCAUUAAACCUGCCUGUGUUCAGUCACUUCCAAGAUGUUGCACUGCAACUUUGUGAGUUCUUGUGACUUUGCAUGUGAUUCCUGAUCUUCUAUCCUUGAGUGUCCCCAGAAUAGUCUAGUGGGAUAUAACUGAUCAUGUAUCAAGAACCUGUUGACACUUGAGACCAGUCCUGUCCUGGCACUAAGGAAAAGGAUCAGUUCAGACACAAACUAUGCCAGCCUUUGAACAAAGCUGGAUUUUUCACUGUUUGAGUGCAAUUCUUGGCUUUUCGUGUCUUUGGAGCUUGGUGAGCUGCUGAUUCAGAUGUGUCCCAAGUGCUCUAGAUUUGCAGGCUUGCCUCUGGGAAGGUUGAGUGUGUCAUUAAUGCUGACUGCUCUCUGAUAUCGUGGCCAAGAUGAGAAUCUGUCCCUUUUCUUCCCUGUGAACUUCAUGUGCUCUGAACCAUCAGUGUUUGUUCAACCCUUUUUGAACUACUGAAACUUCACCAAAAUAAAAACCUGUUAAAAAUUAAAGCCUAUUAAAACCCA